UGAUGUCACUGGCAGGAUACGCGUUAUAAUUGAACACUGCUUGACAUAAGGUAGCCUACAGCUCACACACAGCAGCGGAGACAGAGACAGAUAGCAGCUGGGUGAUUUCAGCUUCAGCGGUGGAAGAAAAAACUCUUUUUUUGACCAACAAAUAUCAGCGGAUUUCUCUUGGGCUGCCGUUUUUGCUGUUGGAAACACCUCAACCUACACAGCUACGCGAGAGAAAGAAAGAUAGACACUGCAAAACAGCCGAGCAUCUGCUAAUCGUCGAUUACCACGGGAGCCAUGGUGGCAGCAGUCCUUAAGUUAUAUUUUAUUGGAACUGCGCUGAGCAUCCUUGCAGUCAUUUUUGGAAUAGUAGACUCCUUUGGUGGUUUGAUGUACACCCAGGACCAUCACUACAUUUUGGACUUGGACCAACAGACACAGAGGCAGCUGUCCUCGAGCAACCACCAGAGAGGAUCGCUCGUGACUAAAAACAUUGGCUCUUGAGGGAGACAUCUGGCAUGAUUUACAAGAAAUGGCAGCUGGAUGGGCAUGCUGGCUACUGUGGCAAUGGAUCAAUAGACAGUGAGACUACGUUUCUAAUCACUGGAGAUAACAAUUAUCCGUAUUGUUCUAUGGCUUAGUAUGGACAUCAAUGUAAUGAUCCGGAUUGUUCUAUUGCUGAGUAUGAACAUCAAUGUAAUGUCUAACUUGCUAUGCGUUCUGCGUUAGUUUGUUGAUAUGGAUGGAUAAUCCCACAGCAUGUGUUUGUGUUUGCUGUACUAUGUAUGCUUUUAAACACUGUAUCAGCUAGGAUGUGUUAAAGCAACUCAAAAUUGGAUGAGAACUGUAACAUCACUACUGAACAAUAAUUUGCACUAAAAUGAGAAUGUUUUGACUUUGCGACGUGUGUAUUUUGAGGUUUUUAGUAUUCAAAUAAAAUGAAUUUUAAAAAGUGUUGCAAUGAGUAUGAACUGCUGCCUCUCUUAGCUACAGAAAAAAGUCAUGGGCUUCCUGUUUACUGAAGAGUUCGUUGGAAGCCAGGCUGACGAAUAAGUAUAAAAUGAGGUG